UGGCGCGUAGCUCAAUGGCCAGAGCGAGCGGCUUAUACCCGCGGAGCCCUAGAUCAGGGCAAGGUUGGGGGUUCAAAUCCCUCCGCGCCUA
rnacentral:tRNA from 1 species